rnacentral:lncRNA from 1 species
AUGCUUGCCUGGGGUGUGAAGGGGUGGAGGAUGCAGUUCCCUCCCCACAGCAACCAGAGACAGGGACCUGCCAGGUUGAGAAAUUUGGCUCAUGAGGAUACGAUGGGUGCUCCAGAAAGGCAUGAGGUCCCAGCACAGCACUCCCAGCCUCGCUGCAGCCCCAGCAGAGGCAAUAUCAGUGAAUGGGGGAGAAGAAGGAAUGGUCCUUGCAAGACAUGCGAGAGCAGAGCUGUCCUUCUGCAACAAGGUGG